GGCUGGGUCCUAUGCGACGCAAACCCAUGAAUCCCGUCAGAUCCGGAAGGAAGCAGCGGUAAGUGGGAAUUUGCGGGUGCCAUAGGGUCACCUGGCCGGAGCU
rnacentral:SRP_RNA from 1 species